AUGUACAUUCCUACAACAUAGCGUUAAUGCAUCGGAUCCCAUUAGAACUUCACAAUUAAGUGCGCUUGGGCUAGAGUAGUACUGGGAUGGGUGACUGCCCAGGAAGUCCUAGUAUUUUACAUG
rfam:Picea glauca, whole genome shotgun sequence.